rnacentral:lncRNA from 1 species
CUUGAAUGGUCUAUAAAUGAUGAUAAUACUGUUCUCUUAUUGAGUGGGUGUGGCUGUUUUAUUUUUAAGUUUACACUAAGUAAGCCAUGGGAUUUGAUAUAUCAUUUUCUUUUCUUUUCUUUUUUUUUUUUUUUUUUUUUUUUUUACAGAUUCCAAAAGCAUUGCUCAGUUAUAAGAGAAGACGAUUAAAAAAGCCGUGCAGGAGAAUAGAAGAAGCUAAAUAUAUCUCAGCCUCUAACAUCAUGUCAAUGAAAAGUAAAAUUUACCAAUUGGAUAACACACAUGUCUUGCACUGACCACUGUCUAUACUUGGAGUUGGUAGUUUUCAUUGAUCGAAUGCUGCCAAGUCCGUGAUAUUUCUAGCUAUUACCUCCAAUUUCUGGAAGGAAGAAGCCAAACAGUGAAUGUCUUAACAGGAGUAAAUGAAAACAGGUGCCAGGAAAACAGAAAGAUGAAUGUUAAGGUCCUAACAUAUGGCGACUAGAACUACCUUGGGUACCACAUGGUCCUGUGGAACUGGCCCUCCCUGUAUUGGACAUGGAUUUGGCUCAUCCUCCUGAUAAAUGUUCAUGAAAAGCUCUCGACAGAACGCAGCAGGUGUGUCGGGUGGAAUAUUUGCUUUUUUGAAGGGCUGCUGAACUUCCUAUGGAGACGACGAACUACCCACGAGGUGUCUGUGUUACCCACGUAUUUCACCCAAACACAGUCUAAAGAACACCUGGAUAGAACAUUUUACUUCUUACGGAGCUGGAAGAUUAGUUUGAAUCUAUAAUGAGUCUGUUUAUAUCCCCGAAGUAACACUGCGUGGUCUAGUCUGCUUUUAGAAUAUAAAUAAUAACUGCUUCACCAAAGACACCAUCCCUGGGCCCACAGGGAGCCCUUGGGGUCUCAGAAGAGUUGCAAGAUUAGAAUCCCAAGUGAUAACCUGAGAUGGAAUCAGAAAGGUGUUGACAGGCCCUGGAGAGCUGUGUAAGCCCCUUCCCACAUGAUGGGAGUGAGGCGAUCCACUUUCAGAAUAAAAUGUGUGUGUGUGUUUGUGUGUGUGUGUGU